rnacentral:rRNA from 1 species
AAAGACGUUCUUGCCUGUCACCUUAUAGAUGGAUCCGCGCUGCAUUAGCUAGUUGGUAAGGUAACGGCUUACCAAGGCAACGAUGCAUAGCCGACCUGAGAGGGUGAUCGGCCACACUGGAACUGAGACACGGUCCAGACUCCUACGGGAGGCAGCAGUAGGGAAUCUUCCGCAAUGGGCGAAAGCCUGACGGAGCAACGCCGCGUGAGUGAUGAAGGUCUUCGGAUCGUAAAACUCUGUUAUUAGGGAAGAACAUAUGUGUAAGUAACUGUGCACAUCUUGACGGUACCUAAUCAGAAAGCCACGGCUAACUACGUGCCAGCAGCCGCGGUAAUACGUAGGUGGCAAGCGUUAUCUGGAAUUAUUGGGCGUAAAGCGCGCGUAGGCGGUUUUUUAAGUCUGAUGUGAAAGCCCACGGCUCAACCGUGGAGGGUCAUUGGAAACUGGAAAACUUGAGUGCAGAAGAGGAAAGUGGAAUUCCAUGUGUAGCGGUGAAAUGCGCAGAGAUAUGGAGGAACACCAGUGGCGAAGGCGACUUUCUGGUCUGUAACUGACGCUGAUGUGCGAAAGCGUGGGGAUCAAACAGGAUUAGAUACCCUGGUAGUCCACGCCGUAAACGAUGAGUGCUAAGUGUUAGGGGGUUUCCGCCCCUUAGUGCUGCAGCUAACGCAUUAAGCACUCCGCCUGGGGAGU